rnacentral:rRNA from 1 species
UACGUAGGGGGCUAGCGUUGUCCGGAUUUAUUGGGCGUAAAGAGCGUGUAGGCGGCCCGGUAAGUCCGCUGUAAAAGUCAAAGGCUUAACCUUUGAAUGUCAGUGGAUACUGCCGGGCUAGAGUCCGGAAGAGGCGAGUGGAACUCCUGGUGUAGCGGUGGAAUGCGCAGAUAUCAGGAAGAACACCAACGGCGAAGGCAGCUCGCUAGGACGGUACUGACGCUGAGACGCGAAAGCGUGGGGAGCGAACAGG